UACAGAGGUCUCAAGCGUUGUUCGGAUUCAUUGGGCGUAAAGGGUGCGUAGGUGGCGCGCUAAGUCAGGUGUGAAAUCUCGGAGCUUAACUCCGAAACUGCAUUUGAUACUGGCGUGCUUGAGGGACUGGAGAGGAGACUGGAAUUCACGGUGUAGCAGUGAAAUGCGUAGAUAUCGUGAGGAAGACCAGUGGCGAAGGCGGGUCUCUGGACAGUUCCUGACACUGAGGCACGAAGGCCAGGGGAGCAAACGGG
rnacentral:rRNA from 1 species